CUACUGGAUGCACCAGUGGGGGAUAUUGCACAAUGGGCGAAAGCCUGAUGCAGCAACGCCGCGUGAAGGAUGACGGAUUUCGGUCUGUAAACUUCUAUCAGCAGGGAAGAAAAUGACGGUACCUGACUAAGAAGCCCCGGCUAACUACGUGCCAGCAGCCGCGGUAAUACGUAGGGGGCAAGCGUUAUCCGGAAUUACUGGGUGUAAAGGGUACGUAGGCGGCUGAUCAAGUCAGAUGUGAAAGCCCGGAGCUCAACUCCGGGAUUGCAUUUGAAACUGGUCGGCUAGAGUGCAGGAGAGGAAAGUGGAAUUCCUAGUGUAGCGGUGAAAUGCGUAGAUAUUAGGAAGAACACCAGUGGCGAAGGCGGCUUUCUGGACUGUAACUGACGCUGAGGUACGAAAGCGUGGGGAGCGAACAGGAUUAGAUACCCUGGUAGUC
rnacentral:rRNA from 1 species